rnacentral:tRNA from 1 species
UCUAAUAUGGCAGAUUAGUGCAAUGGAUUUAAGCUUCAUACAUAAAGGGAUACCCUUUUAUUAGAA